rnacentral:tRNA from 1 species
GGCUGUUUAGCUCAGUUGGUUAGAGCGUGGUGCUAAUAACACCUAGGUUGCGGGUUCAAUCCCCAUACGGGUCA